rnacentral:rRNA from 1 species
CCUACGGGUGGCAGCAGUGAGGAAUAUUGGUCAAUGGACGAGAGUCUGAACCAGCCAAGUAGCGUGAAGGAUGACUGCCCUAUGGGUUGUAAACUUCUUUUAUAGGGGAAUAAAACGUUACACGUGUGGGAUUUUGUAUGUACCAUAUGAAUAAGGAUCGGCUAACUCCGUGCCAGCAGCCGCGGUAAUACGGAGGAUCCGAGCGUUAUCCGGAUUUAUUGGGUUUAAAGGGAGCGUAGGGGGAUUGUUAAGUCAGUUGUGAAAGUUUGCGGCUCAACCGUAAAAUGGCAGUUGAAACUGGCAGUCUUGAGUACAGUAGAGGUGGGCUGAAUUCGUGGUGUAGCGGUUCACUGCUUAGAUCUCAC